AGAUGAAGAACGCAGCGAAAUGUGAUACGUAGUGUGAAUUGCAGAAUUCAGUGAAUCAUCGAAUCUUUGAACGCACAUUGCACCUCUCGGUAUUCCGGGAGGUAUGCCUGUUCGAGCGUCAUUUGUACCCUCAAGCUCUGCUUGGUGUUGGGUGUUUGUUCCGCCUCUGUGUGUGAACUCGCCUCAAAACAAUUGGCAGCCGGCGUACUUGUUUCGGAGCGCAGCACAUUUUGCGAUCCAGACCAACGUACAGCGGCAUCCAAGAAGCCUUAUUUAACGCUCUUGACCUCGGAUCAGGUAGGGAUACCCGCUGAACUUAAGCAUAUCAAUAAGCGGAGGGA
rnacentral:misc_RNA from 1 species